rnacentral:lncRNA from 1 species
AGAGAAUAAGAGACUUAGGAACAGAGAUUAAGAAAAUGAGAGAUUAGGAGAAUAAGAGAUUAGAGAUCAGGGUUUUAGAUUCAAAAACAAGUUUAUCAUUCAUGAAGUUGAGAGGGGAAAUCCCCCUUACUCCCUUAGGAGAUACAAAAAUGCCCCUUUAGGGUCUUUAAAUACAAUGCAGGUUACAAAUCAUAAAACUACAUCUAAUGGUUGAACUUGCUUUAGAACAUGGACACCUAGGAUUGAGUCUUGGGCUGGUCAAUGUAAUCUGAGUGAUGUCUCCUUAUUGGCUGAAGAUACAGUCAGGACAGGCUGGCUUGAAUGGAUGGGAUCGCUUCAG